rnacentral:rRNA from 1 species
GACGAACGCUGGCGGCGUGCUUAACACAUGCAAGUCGAACGGUAAGGCCCUUCGGGGUACACGAGUGGCGAACGGGUGAGUAACACGUGGGUGAUCUGCCCUGCACUUCGGGAUAAGCCUGGGAAACUGGGUCUAAUACCGGAUAGGACCACUGCCUGCAUGGGUGGUGGUGGAAAGCUUUUGCGGUGUGGGAUGGGCCCGCGGCCUAUCAGCUUGUUGGUGGGGUGAUGGCCUACCAAGGCGACGACGGGUAGCCGGGCUGAGAGGGUGACCGGCCACACUGGGACUGAGAUACGGCCCAGACUCCUACGGGAGGCAGCAGUGGGGAAUAUUGCACAAUGGGCGCAAGCCUGAUGCAGCGACGCCGCGUGAGGGAUGACGGCCGUCGGGUUGUAAACCUCUUUCAGCACCGACGAAGCGCAAGUGACGGUAGGUGCAGAAGAAGGACCGGCCAACUACGUGCCAGCCGCCGCUGUAAAAC